rnacentral:rRNA from 1 species
UACGUAGGGUGCGAGCGUUGUCCGGAAUUAUUGGGCGUAAAGAGCUCGUAGGCGGUUUGUCACGUCGGAUGUGAAAUCCCGGGGCUUAACUCCGGGUCUGCAUUCGAUACGGGCUGACUAGAGUUCGGCAGGGGAGACUGGAAUUCCUGGUGUAGCGGUGAAAUGCGCAGAUAUCAGGAGGAACACCGGUGGCGAAGGCGGGUCUCUGGGCCGAUACUGACGCUGAGGCACGAAAGCGUGGGGAGCAAACAGG